GAUGAACGCUGGCGGCGUGCUUAACACAUGCAAGUCGAACGGUAAGGCCCCUUCGGGGGUACACGAGUGGCGAACGGGUGAGUAACACGUGGGCAAUCUGCCCCUCACUCUGGGAUAACUCGGGGAAACCCGAGCUAAUACCGGAUACUUCGUCGAGGUCGCAUGGCCAUGACGAGAAAGCUCCGACGGGGAGGGCUGAGCCCGCGGCCCAUUAGCUUGUUGGUGAGGUAACGGCCCACCAAGGCGACGAUGGGUAGCCGGGCAGAGAGGCUGACCGGCCACACUGGGACUGAGACACGGCCCAGACUCCUACGGGAGGCAGCAGUGGGGAAUCUUGCGCAAUGGUCGAAAGCUUGAAGCAGCAACGCCGCGUGCGGGAUGAAGGCUCUCGGGUCGUAAACCGCUUUCAGCGGGGAUGAAACUGACAGUACCUGCAGAAGAAGCCCCGGCUAAAUACGUGCCAGCCGCCGCAGUAAAAC
rnacentral:rRNA from 1 species